GGUGCAUGGUUGUCGUCAGCUCGUGUCGUGAGAUGUUCGGGUUAAGUCCCGCAACGAGCGCAACCCUCGACCUUAGUUGCCAGCAUUCAGUUGGGCACUCUAAGGUGACUGCCGGCUAAAAGUCGGAGGAAGGUGGGGAUGACGUCAAAUCAUCAUGCCCCUUAUGACCUGGGCUACACACGUGCUACAAUGGGCGGUACAAAGGGUCGCGAACCCGCGAGGGGGAGCCAAUCCCCAAAAAGCCGCUCUCAGUUCGGAUUGCAGGCUGCAACUCGCCUGCAUGAAGCCGGAAUCGCUAGUAAUCGCGGAUCAGCAUGCCGCGGUGAAUACGUUCCCGGGCCUU
rnacentral:rRNA from 1 species